rnacentral:rRNA from 1 species
GAUGAACGCUGGCGGCGUGCCUAAUACAUGCAAGUCGAGCGAACAGACGAGGAGCUUGCUCCUCUGACGUUAGCGGCGGACGGGUGAGUAACACGUGGAUAACCUACAUAUAAGACUGGGAUAACUUCGGGAAACCGGAGCUAAUACCGGAUAAUAUAUUGAACCGCAUGGUUCAAUAGUGAAAGACGGUUUUGCUGUCACUUAUAGAUGGAUCCGCGCCGCAUUAGCUAGUUGGUAAGGUAACGGCUUACCAAGGCAACGAUGCGUAGCCGACCUGAGAGGGUGAUCAGCCACACUGGAACUGAGACACGGUCCAGACUCCUACGGGAGGCAGCAGUAGGGAAUCUUCCGCAAAGGGCGAAAGCCUGACGGAGCAACGCCGCGUGAGUGAUGAAGGUCUUCGGAUCGUAAAACUCUGUUAGUAGGGAAGAACAAAUGUGUAAGUAACUAUUCACGUCUUGACGUUACCUAAUCAGAAAGCCACGGCUAACUACGUG